CUAGAUUUUGUUGCCAGUGGAUUUUGUGCUACUUUGUCUAUUAUUGCAAUAUGUAUCAAACUGAAAAUGAAAAUUAAAGAGUUAUGAUGCAUAUGUUGACAGAACACCAAUAUAAACUCCCCCUCAAGAACUCGAGACAGUGCUCUAAUCUACGCCCUAAACUAAAAUUUUCUUUAUAACAAAAUCUCAAAAGGGCUUAGCUUCAAUACAUAUGGGAUAUGGCUCUGAGUAUCAUCCAACUGGCUUAGUGUCAUAUGUGUAUAUGACAAGGAUGUAUCAAGAUGCUAAAAUUCAAAUCUACAAAGCUAUCUUGACUAUUUGUAGCUAAUUACUGUCGGUGUUCGAGAGAACUGAUUGGCGAAGUUCAUGUGACCAUGACUUCAUUAACUUUGACUCUUGGACAUCCUAACUUAUUUCACCACAAAUGAAAUAUGUAAAAUGCAGCGUGCUGAAUCCAUUUGCUUGCUGGCCCAAGAUUUGAGUUGGUAUUAUUUCUUUCGUUUUCGCAAACAGUUUUUUGUGCUUAUACCUUAUUGUGACAAGUCCAAACUGGUUCAUUUGAAGAACAAUGUGGAAUUAUAGGGAGACUAUUAAAUGGAAAGUUGCAAAAAUCAUUGACUAGACCAGGCUUAGGCUAGGGAAGCAAGGAUCUUCUUAGUUCAGAAACUUAUUCCCAUCAUAUUGUUUCAAUUUUAAAUUCGUUAUUUAGUGUAGAUUUGAGUAUGCCAUGCAGAUAAAUCAACGUAUAUAAUUACAAUUGUUGUCUACCUAUCAGAAUGCUACAUUAAUGUAGUUUUGUGCAUAAUUUCUACAAUGUUACCUCUUUGGCUUCUAUUAGUUUUUCUUUGAGAAAAUUGAGGUUGUUAAAGUUCUUAUACUAACACUUGUUGCUGUCGUGCCAACUUCAGCAGCAUCAAAGGGAAGAGAUGUUAAAGGCAAAUAGAGAAAGCGACGGGAUAGGAAGGAGGCAGAGAAUGCGCACACCACUCAGGGGCUUUGUCGUGUUCGACUUAUUCAUGGUCUUGUUCUUCAAUAAUGUUAGUAAAAUAUUGUAAACUUGUACUAGAUUUCCUGAAUGGUUGAUGCACUGAAUGUAUGGUUAAUGCUUUAGUACUGUUAAGUACUUCAUUUCUAGGAUAUUACCGUUUUGUACUAGAUUUCCUGAAUUUCAGUUAGUUUAAUAAAAUAAGUAUGUUGACAGUGAAUAUCGUGUGUAUUUUUUCCCUUUGAAAAC
rnacentral:lncRNA from 1 species